rnacentral:snRNA from 1 species
UGGGUUAGUCGAUCCUAAGA